rnacentral:misc_RNA from 1 species
UCCGAGUUGUCCCCGGCAGUCCUUUUAGAGUCCCCGGCAUUACCCGCUGGCAACUAAAAGCAGGGGUUGCGCUCGUUGCGGCACUUAAGCCAACACCUCACGGCACGAGCUGACGACAGCCAUGCAGCACCUGUGCUAGCCCCUUUCAGACACGGGCUUUCACCCGCUUUAACUAGCAUGUCAAGGGUAGGUAAGGUUCUUCGCGUUGCAUCGAAUUAAACCACAUGCUCCACCGCUUGUGCGGGCCCCCGUCAAUUCCUUUGAGUUUCGGUCUUGCGACCGUACUCCCCAGGCGGAGUGUUUCACGCGUUAGCUGGGCCCCUGAUCCACGUAGACCUAGUGCCCAUCGUUUACGGCGUGGACUAC